rnacentral:rRNA from 1 species
AAAUCUGACGCAGCAAUGCCGCGUGAGUGAUGAAGGUCUUCGGAUUGUAAAGCUCUGUUGAGUGGGAAGAAAAAUUCCGAUCCUAAUCAGUCGGGAUCUGACGGUACCGCUCGAGUAAGCCCCGGCUAACUACGUGCCAGCAGCCGCGGUAAUACGUAGGGGGCAAGCGUUGUUCGGAAUCACUGGGCGUAAAGGGAGCGUAGGCGGGAUCGUAAGUUAGAAGUUUAAUUCGCAGGCUUAACCUGCGUGUGGCUUCUAAUACUGCGGUUCUUGAGUAUGAAAGAAGGA